rnacentral:rRNA from 1 species
GACGAACGCUGGCGGCGUGCUUAACACAUGCAAGUCGAACGGAAAGGCCCUGCUUUUGUGGGGUGCUCGAGUGGCGAACGGGUGAGUAACACGUGAGUAACCUGCCCUUGACUUUGGGAUAACUUCAGGAAACUGGGGCUAAUACCGGAUAGGAGCUCCUGCUGCAUGGUGGGGGUUGGAAAGUUUCGGCGGUUGGGGAUGGACUCGCGGCUUAUCAGCUUGUUGGUGGGGUAGUUGCUUACCAAGGCUUUGACGGGUAGCCGGCCUGCGAGGGUGACCGGCGACAUUGGGACUGAGAUACGGCCCAGACUCCUACGGGAGGCAGCAGUGGGGAAUAUUGCACAAUGGGCGGAAGCCUGAUGCAGCAACGCCGCGUGCGGGAUGACGGCCUUCGGGUUGUAAACCGCUUUCGCCUGUGACGAAGCGUGAGUGACGGUAAUGGGUAAAGAAGCACCGGCUAACUACGUG